rnacentral:rRNA from 1 species
UAAGUGAAGAGUUUGAUCCUGGCUCAGAGUGAACGCUGGCGGUAGGCCUAACACAUGCAAGUCGAACGGCAGCACAGGAGAGCUUGCUCUCUGGGUGGCGAGUGGCGGACGGGUGAGGAAUACAUCGGAAUCUACUUUUUCGUGGGGGAUAACGUAGGGAAACUUACGCUAAUACCGCAUACGACCUACGGGUGAAAGCAGGGGAUCUUCGGACCUUGCGCGAUUGAAUGAGCCGAUGUCGGAUUAGCUAGUUGGCGGGGUAAAGG